CAAGAUGUAGCUACAAAUAAAGCACUCAGCUUACACCUGAGAGAUAUCUGCCACCUACCAGAUCAUCUUGA
rnacentral:tRNA from 4 species